GCUGCCGUAGCUCAAUUGGUAAGAGCAUCGGACGUGUAAUCUGAAGGUUGCAGGUUCGGACCCUGCUGGUGGCA